rnacentral:lncRNA from 10 species
CUUGGACAUUACUUUACAUUGUUUUAUCAGUGAUGAAGUAAUGACAUAAAAGUUCUUAGUGCACAAAUUGGUUUUAAAGCCAUGGAGACUGAGGAACACAGGAAGCAUAUGGAAUUUCAGUCUGUGGAGAAACUGGAAAGGCCUCAGGACCACUUCCACAGGAGAGGAAACUGCAGCCUUGCUUGAUUGACAUAGUCAUGUUUACACAGCUUGAAGCUUGAACCAUGGUGGUGACUCCUAAGGCAGGAUGGAAUUAUCAUACACAAUGUGACAUCAAGAGAUCACAACUGUAUUGGCUUCUAAUCCACUUGGCAACAGAAUUGGCUGUAAUAAUUCACUUGAAUGUAGAAGGGUGCUCAGGUAGGAAUAAAUCUCAGGAUUAAAAGGAGAAGAGGAAGCAUCCACCUCUCCAUCUAAGUCAGUCAAGCCACCCCAGUUUCCAUGCAGUAACCUAUAGAAUAGCAUUAGAUCUUGGUGGCUUUAGCCACAUUCGACAGGAGAGUGAAUAAAAAUUAACUUCUAGCAAGA